AUUAAGCAGGGCUCAACAUUAAAAAAAAUCCAUGGAAAAUCCAUAAUGAUAACUAGAUAGGCUACUUAACUAGAAAAUGAUCUCAGAUUAGGGGGCAGUUCACUGAGGAGUGAUGGUUAAGGUCUUGAUUACUGAAACAUAAUCAGUGUCCUGAUUGGUGGAAAAUGCUUGCAGAAAGUAAGGCCUGUUGUCAGGUAAACAUGUCACUGUCAAAGAGCCUGAAGCCAAAAGUUUACGUGGGAAAGCCCAA